AGGAUUGGGUUGGAGGAAGUGUUGGUGGAGUGUAUCCAUUAAAAUUGUUACAGCAGCAAAAGCCAUAGCCGGUGAUGUGAUGUGAUUUUGAAAGAAAUAAUGAU